AGUGAACGCUGGCGGUAGGCCUAACACAUGCAAGUCGAACGGCAGCACAGUAAGAGCUUGCUCUUACGGGUGGCGAGUGGCGGACGGGUGAGGAAUACAUCGGGAUCUACUUUUUCGUGGGGGAUAACGUAGGGAAACUUACGCUAAUACCGCAUACGACCUACGGGUGAAAGCAGGGGAUCUUCGGACCUUGCGCGAUUGAAUGAGCCGAUGUCGGAUUAGCUAGUUGGCGGGGUAAAGGCCCACCAAGGCGACGAUCCGUAGCUGGUCUGAGAGGAUGAUCAGCCACACUGGAACUGAGACACGGUCCAGACUCCUACGGGAGGCAGCAGUGGGGAAUAUUGGACAAUGGGCGAAAGCCUGAUCCAGCCAUACCGCGUGGGUGAAGAAGGCCUUCGGGUUGUAAAGCCCUUUUGUCGGGAAAGAAAAGCAGCAGGUUAAUACCCCGCUGUUCUGACGGUACCCAAAGAAUAAGCACCGGCUAACUUCGUG
rnacentral:rRNA from 1 species